GAGGGUAUAGCUCAGUGGUAGAGUGCAUGCCUAGCAUGCACAAGGUCCUGGGUUCAAUCCCCAGUCCCUCCA
rnacentral:tRNA from 1 species